CCCCUCUGCCUAAGAGCCAGCUGCUUCCAGGAGCUGCUUGAGAACAAGAAAAUAAUUAACAGUGGAAUGAAAGAGCAGUGGCUGCUUACAACGCAUGGUCAUAAACAUUCUCCAGCAAAAUCUCUUUAACGCCGCCCAAGCAGAGCCCAGAAGAAGAGAAUAAAAUGGGUAUGGCAUAUAGGAAAGACGACAAAGGCCUUGUCUAUGCAGGAAGUUAAGUCAAAUCAACUAAAGGCAGGUUUUCAAAAGUCCUCAGGAUUACCCUAACUCUGCCUUCCAUUGAAGUGAAGGGUAAGACUCCCACUGAAAUCAACAUGAGUUUUACCACUGAAGUCAAUGGGAAUAGUUAUGUCCAUGGAUCCCUGCCUCAUUCAGUGCACAGAACGGACGAAUGCACAAGAGGGAAGAAUUAAGAUUACACAGACCACGAUAAUAUAGUGACAACAGCCAUUCAUAUAUAGAUGGGCUUGAAAGAAUCCUCCUCCACCCUUGUCUCUGGAGGGCUUCCUCUUAUCUUCUCUUGAACAUUUCAACGGAUGAUACCUCAGCUACCACCCGCAGGAAACAUUCAUCUUCAAAAGACAUGUGCAUGACGGGGCACCAGCAGCAGUUGGCCCCAGGAAAAGGAAAGGUGGCACCAAAAGAUACAAGAACAACCAAACAGCAGAAAGGGAAUAGCAAGAGGGAUGGAAAUGAGAAGGGACACACAAGACUUGUUAAUACACGUGGAGGAGCUGGGUACAGCAUGGAGUGUUCAUGUUGCUAAGAGGGGCCGCCCUCAUGUAUUGGAUGCCAGUUGCCUAAUGGCUGUCAGAUGUGGGUAUGGAUCCUGUAACAAAAUGGAUAUAAGAUCUGCUCAACAUUUUCCAAGUUUCAAUCUUUUAAACAUUUUCUCAAAAUUCUGAAUUUCAACAAAGGGGUUGAAUUAAAAAAAAAAAAAAAAAAAAAAAAAAAGGUAAUGGAAAAUUUCUCCCAUAUUCUGACCAGGUACCAUAUGAGAGCUGGCUGGAAAUUUUGUUGAAAUCUUGAAUUCUGGCAAAAAAAAUGGCAAACAUUUUUCCUAUAUUUUUGAUCAGCAAUAAUGGCUAGAACAAGACAGGCACGGAAACGUCCAGGAUUUUUUUUUUUAGUUGGCUUUGCUAGGAUUGGUGGAACAUUCCUCCCUCCCCCCCCAACCCCCCGUUAAUGAAACAUUAAGGGUCAGAUUUUUUAUUUAUUUACUGGCCAGAUUAGGAGUCUAAAUGCACGCACUACUGUGCAUCUAAUUUGCAUGUGCAAUUACCACAGUUGCAGGUACAACAGGUAACUGGCUAACCAGAUGCAUUUAGGGAUUUGCUCAUCUGAUGUCUGCACUCAGUUUCGGUAAUUGGCCUUUUAGAUUGUUUAGGGUAUGGACUGAAUUUAAUCUGUGUCUUGUAUCAUGUUAUCUGUGCUAAACAAAUAAUAAUUUCAUGAGCAAAUUAGCACAUCGUUGUUCUUCUAAAGGGUCCGAAGAUUUGGCCCUAGAAGCAGUUUGUUAAAACGGUACAAUAUCUCUCUUCUAUUACCUAGUCUAGGAUGUCAUCUUUCUGGGAAAAGCUGGAAAGCUUGUCUCCCUCACCAACGGAAGUUGUUCCAAUAAAAGAGAUUAUCCCACCCAGCCUUGUCUCUCUAAUCUUUCUGGGAGUCAGUACUGAAGGUGUGUGCCUAGAUGCAGGUCCACUGAGGGAAUGGUAUAGGCCUGAGGCAAUGUUUCUUUCAUACCCAAAAACCUUAAUUAGGGAUUUCAAUUAGUGAGCACUAGGGCACAUUACCUUGAAAAUAAAAAGUCUAAAGGAAGGCGCUCCCUCCUCUUUUCAUUUGAAAUUGCCCUGAGAGCGACUGGUACCCCCAAAUCAGUCACAUAUCUAGCCUGGUCUCUCCCAUUUUCCUAUCUGUGUAUUCCUGAAUUUUCAUCAUAGUGAAAAACAUUUUAUUUUCACAAAGAUAUUGAUUGUAUGUAAAUUUAUAUGCCAGUUACACACAUUCACUAUUUUAGAACAAACAUAAGGUUUCAGGGUGUAGCCAUAUAAUUCAAAGACUGAUCACAUACUAAGAUCCAUUGUAUUACACUGCAAUUACAUUAAAAGAGAUUUCAGUUUA